UUUCAUCUCAUCUAUUAUCAAAACAAUCCCUUAUUCUUUUACUAUGUAGUACCCUUGACCCAAGUAGUACGUAAAGUCGUAGGAUCUCUGCUUGGUAAUUUUUAUAGAAGUAGUAUCCCGGGCAGGGGCACCUCCUGCAUGCAUGCUUAUCUUAAACUAGCUAGGGGGGAUCAUGAUAUAUAGCGAAACAUACACCAAACUUCUACACGGAGAUUUGGAUUGGGCGCCCACUUUGGCAAAGAUUUCUGGAGAUUUGGAUGACAAAAUAAGGCAUGCAUGCAAUGUGUGUCUGAGGCCCUGAGGUUGACAUUGCUCAUGUACAUGAUCAGGGAAAUCUUGCUUUCAAACGGGAAAAGAUAGAGGGACAGAAGUUGGGCGAAAGAAUCGAGAUAUGAGAAGAUUAUGAUGAUUGCUUGGAUUUCCGCGCUUUGAAAACUCGUACGUUUUUCUUGGAGAAAGCAUAUGAACUGAGAAAAUCCCGGACGUUCGGGCACUUUCUCUGUCUCACUUACGAAGAUCUUUCUGCGCCGAAAACUAGGGUGUCCUUUGUUGUUCUGCGCUUGUUCAUUGAACUUAGCCACUCGUCCGAGUUCUACACCGACAUCCUUUGAGAUUUCCUUUCCAUAUAUCUCGGAUUAAAGAGAAAAAAUACCUGUAGAUCAUCAGGAGAGUAAUGUGUAGCAAUACUAGCAGCGGUGGUGCUGCUGAUAGUGCUGGCGACCUUGGUGAUUGGACGCCGGGGUCGUAUAACCGGUUGAAGGGCCCAAAGAUCCCGAGAAGAGGACCAGGAGUGGCUGAACUGGAGAAGAUCCUACGAGAACAGGAAAAGAAAGAAUGCGCUACUACUGCCGAGAAUGCCAACUUGGAUGGCCAUUUUUCGCGCUUCGUUUCCUCUCUUCCCUACCCUUAUCAUCAUUCUCAAUCCCUGAUCAACUCUCUUCCUCGGCCACCGCCACCUCCAAUCACAACUACAAUGCACCCGGCGACACCGACUAUCUGUUCCUCUCCGUCUCGACAUGUUUGUUUAGUACCAAAUCUUGCUCAGUUCAGCCCACCACCACCUGAUCCGCCAUUAAUGACUUCCGUUCAUGGCAAUGAUAGCAGUAAUACAAUAAUUGGAAGAGGCGGUGGCGUGUUUGUGGUUGGCGGGGCGACUGUGGCUCUGCCUGAGAAGGCCUUAUUUGCCAUAACGUGGGCAGCUUCUAGCAAGUCCAGUGUGGAUGGGGUGGAAGGAAGCAACUCAGACUCUGGUAUACCAUUACCAACUCAUAUUGCCAAUGAAUCCAUUCCAAUGUCUCCUUCCCCUAAAUUACUGCAAAGAAGACAUUGCCAAGAUCCUUCUGUAACGGUAAAUCGUAAUUUUCCUGGUUCUGCCACACCAUCUUCGUCAGAUGUAUCACCUGCCAAACCGUAUAAUCAUAUAGAGCACCCUUCAAACCAAAGAUCUAGUUACAAUUACACGUCUCUUUCGCCCCAGCAAGUGCAGGCGAGUCCGAUUUCCUAAUAAUUUAAAUUGUUCUGCUAAUUUAUGUUGUAGGAUUGUUCCAGCAUAGACAUGAUACUUUCCUCCUUUGAUUUCAUUGAUUUUUCUGUUGUUAUGGAUUUUUCCGCUCGAGUUUUUUCCCCAAUUUUAUAUAAUUGAGAAAGAAGAGGAAGCGUGCAUAAAAGUGGAGUAAUCUUUUAUGGCGAGCACACAUAUAUUUGGUUGCUGUGUUAUACAGGUGCAUGUCAUGACGAGGCCAAAGCCCUUCUCAGAAGACAAGGCAGCUGGUCCUCAACUUCAUUUUCAAGUUCCUCGGGUGAUUGAUCCUCGCAUCUCCGCACCAGAUCAAUCGUCUUCGUGGUAUAGUUACAGUGCAUCUAAUGUUGGCCCCAGUAACAAAUUAGUCUUCAGAGGUACAAGAGGGGAUGGCCCAUCGGAUAUCAACUCGAAGAAGUUAAGUACUACAUACAAUAAUUUACCCGAUAACAAUUUGUACAGAUUUGGCUGCCUUGCUAAUCAUCCUCCGGCUCCUAUGGCACAGAGUCUUCAUGAAAGGGAGUUCUCCAAACUUGACAAGCUUGCUACCAAAGAAAGCGAGGACUCAGAUCAAAGGUCAGGAAUGGGUGGAUUAGAUAGUGAAAAAUCCUUUCAUGACUUUUUCCAACCAAAGGAGCAGAUGGGCUGGAAAGAAUUUACCCUUAGCUCAAACGAUGAGAAGGGUAAUGAGGAAGGAGACGAUGACAUUGAUCUCAACCUCAAACUCUAGGAGGGUAGCCUAUCAAGGUAUAUGAUCAAGCAUUUGAGAAACAUUUGCAUGGAAUGUUGUAGGGUGCGUCUGUGUGUGCGUGAGAGAGAUCAUGUGGACGACUUUGUUUCUUGUAAUUGAAG